UAUUUGCAAGAAAUGUCUUGCAAGUGUCAAGAACACACCUUUCGAAGGUGUUGUAAAUUGUUCUUGAAUAGUUCAAAACAGUUGGUUCUUCUACUUGAAUGCUUGAUUCCGUAUUAGUAACUAUGUUUUACAAAUCGUUGUAAAAGUGUGACUAAUAAGAAGUAGAAGAUAUAUGAGUGUAGAAAAGGUGCUUCACAUUCGGAAACGUGAAUCAAAUAUAGAUCUCUGCGAAAGCAGAUGGUACUUACUUCCUCAUAUGAACUACCAAAGAAAUUGGAAAAACAUAGAUUGUCUUUAUAUUCUAAUUUUAAGGAACUAAAUUCUGUCACUAUGUGAAAUGGAUAAAUGUUUUGUUUGACAAAACAAUGUUCUUUAUUAAUCAAUGAUUGGAUUAUGGUAAUCUAAUUAAUUAUCUCUAUAGUAGAGAUAAUAUGGUAGUGUUAACUGUUUAGAAAAUAAUGAUGCUUAAAACCCAAAAGAUUGCAAGGUAGUGACUAAUCCCAACUAAGUUGUGAUUCCUCUAAAAGUAUAAGUUAUGAGUUGGUGAAAGAUGUAUGCUUUGGAUCGUUAGAUCCGGAUCCAAUACCUUCUUGUUAAAAUUGUAUGGAGGCGAAAUGUUCGAAUCUUUAUUCUUUUGGAAAGAAGAAAGAAUCACAAAGUUGUUGAGGUUAAUUCACUUAAAUGUUAGUGGCAUUUGUCCACAAACAUAAUACUACUCAUGUUGUAUGACAUUCACCGAAGAACACUCUCGGUUGGACUAUAGUUUAUUUUGAAUAAACACAAGUCCGAAUACUUUGCAAAAUGUUUCAAAGAAUU
rnacentral:lncRNA from 1 species